UACACACCGCCCGUCACGCUAUGGGAGCCGCUAACACCUGAAGCCGCCGCGCCAACCGCAAGGAGGCAGGCGUCUAGGGUGGGAGGGGUAACUGGAGCG
rnacentral:rRNA from 1 species